rnacentral:misc_RNA from 1 species
AAGUCGUAACAAGGUUUCCAUAGGUGAACCUGCGGAAGGAUCAUUAACACGUAUCCAAACGUUAAAACCCCCCCCGUGAACAUUCAUCCUGCUCUUGUAACCCGCGAAGCUUGCAAUCUCUGGUAAAUCAUAGCCCAGAAAGUAGUUUUGAUUCAGAGACCUCUGGCCCGUGCGAAUAUUGGAACAGUUACAAUUUUGAGCGGUAGUUCUAUAGGCCUUGUUUCCCCAAGCAGUCAGUGUCUGAAAGUGUUGCUAAGUGUGUAAGGAUAACGCCUCACGGUUGCCAGAGGUCGAUCACCGACCGGCAGACAUGUCACAGGGUCACCACGCCCCUUAAUCACCCCAAUUUGAAAUUGCUCCUACCUGGUGGUAACGCACUGGGUCAAAAAAACCGAACAACUGUUAACAAUGGAUAUCUUGGUUCUC